rnacentral:lncRNA from 1 species
GAAUUUAGUGACCAUAUACAUCCUAUGUCAGUUUUUGAGCCUAUUGAAAGUGCGUGCAUUUUUCAUACACUCCUAUUUUUUUUUAUGUGUGAUGAACUUAUGUGAGAUACAUCUCUAGAACUUGCGUAACGAUCUUUCGAAAUGUUUGUCAUUGAUUGCAUGAACUUGGAAAUGAUAGAGGCAUUAGGUUUACCACUAUGGCCCAAAUAACCAUGUUUCCCAAAGAAAAAUGAUAUCAUUAGAUUGCCAAUUUGAGCCGUAUUUGUUGAGCCUUUUAUUUCUUAUCACCAGAUAUGUCUACCCUUAUACCUGAAACAUUUUUCCUUACCCUUUCCAAGCGAGCAAUGAGAGAUUGUCUUAUGAGAAACGUUUGUGAAGUACUUUGAAGGUGUUUGGCAAAAGAAUAAGUGUGGGGGUAUUUCAUGUUUGUAUUUAAAAAAAAAAAAAAAGAGAAAAGAGAAGAAAAGAAAAAGAAAAAGAAAGAUUGUAUACAAAUGAAAUAAAAAGUUUUUAAAGUUUCAGUUUAAGGGUGUGGUUGGAGGUGCUAGAAGAAUUGCUGGAGAGCUUGAGUUCUUAUAAAUCUAAAGAAAAGAAUUGCUUGCAAUGUAGCUUGGAACUUGUGUUUUCCUAUUCUAUCGUUUCAAUAACCCUAUCCCUAAACCUCAUUACAUCCAAUAAAAGUCCUCUUGAUUUAAGUUUUGCAAUUAUGACUGUGGAGAAGUGAUCUUUAUGCAAGCUUAUGGUAGAAAUUUCACAUUUGAUUUUUUGAGCGAAACACAUUAAAACUAAACACAUGUGUGAUUGAGUGUAUAUCCCGUGAGAAGGUUGCUAGUUUGCAUAUGAUGAUUUUAAAAAUAUAAAAAUUUUGAAAUUGCAUUAGCAUGGCUAUCUCACACACUACACUUCAAGGAUGAUUCAAAGAUUACUGCUAAUAUUUGAUUAAGGAAGAUGAACUUGGAUUAGUUUGUUUGGUGCUAGCUAUGGUUCUUGAUGAUUUGUUUUCUUGAAUGAAAUUCUAUGAGGGUCACAUAGGGGGAAACUAAUGUUUUUCAUGUUAUUACUUUUUCAUGUUUUCUUUGUUUUGCUCGAGGACUAGCAAAAAUGUAAGUUUGGGGGUAUUUGAUCACGCAUAUAUUUCAUGCAUUUAUACCAUCCAUUUCUAUAGUCUUUGUGAUGUUUUUGUGUUAAUUGUGGCAUUUUAUUUUACCUUGUGUUAAUGUGCAGUUAAAUUUCUUUUAGGAUAAAUAAUAAAAGAAAGAGGGAGUGGAGACUAAUGGGACGGAAAGGGAGAUUGACAGCAAGCAGAAAAGAAAAAUAAAAGAAUAAGUGGGAAGAAUGGAAUGGUGGAGGAAUAAAGAAAAGAGAAUGGCAAACAAGAAAAAAAAAAGAAGGAAUAAAAAAUGAAAGAAGAAUAAGAGGGAGGCCAGGAGGCGCGGCAGACGGAGGGGAAGAGAGAAGACAGAAAAAUUGUGCAGAGGGGAAGAGAAUAACAGGGGGAUAGGUGCAGCCAAGAAUAGAAGAGAAGCAGAGAGACUGACACGGCAGAGAAGCAGAGAGACUGACGACAGAGGGCAGGCACGGAGCACAGAGACACAGAGAAAGAGCUUCACUCCAUUUUUCUUGGUUAAAUCUUUCCAAACUUAUAUUUUAUUUCUGUUUUAAUAAUGUGUAACUAAAUUUAUUUUGGCUAGAGGUUAAUUCAAAGCCAUGAAUAUAUUUGUAAUAUGAAUUGAUUACCUUCAGUUGUGAUUUCGGAGUUGUGAUUUAAUUUGCUUAACUGCUUGAUUGAUAGCUU